rnacentral:rRNA from 1 species
UGGGGAAUUUUGGACAAUGGGCGCAAGCCUGAUCCAGCAAUGCCGCGUGCAGGAUGAAGGCCUUCGGGUUGUAAACUGCUUUUGUACGGAGCGAAAAGGUCUGCCCUAAUACGGUGGGCUCAUGACGGUACCGUAAGAAUAAGCACCGGCUAACUACGUGCCAGCAGCCGCGGUAAUACGUAGGGUGCGAGCGUUAAUCGGAAUUACUGGGCGUAAAGCGUGCGCAGGCGGUUAUAUAAGACAGAUGUGAAAUCCCCGGGCUUAACCUGGGAACUGCAUUUGUGACUGCAUAACUAGAGUACGGCAGAGGGAGGUGGAAUCCCGCGUGUAGCAGUGAAAUGCGUAGAUAUGCGGAGGAACACCGAUGGCGAAGGCAGCCUCCUGGGCCAGUACUGACGCUCAUGCACGAAAGCGUGGGGAGCAAACA